CACCUCUAGGGAUGGAUGGGGCACCCACAACCUCUCUGUGCAGCUGUUCCAGCACCUCACCACGCUCUGUAAAGAACUUCCCCCUGACAUCCAACCUAAAUCUCUCCUCCCUCAACUUAAAACCAUUUCCCCUCAUCCUGCAGUUAUCAACCCUUUCAAAGAGUUGAUUCCCCUCCCCUCUGUAGACUCCCUUUAAGUACUGAAGUGCUGCAGUGCGGUCACCCCGCAGCCUUGUAAGUUGGGCUACGGAAUCCUGGAGGGCAGGGGUGGUUCUGCAGCCAGGUCAGCUGCAGCCCUGGCACGUGGCCCAGCUUGCAGUGCUGGCUGUUUGUGUGCCCAACGUGCUGGGAUGUCCUGUGGUGUCUGUGAAGUUUGUGAACAGUCCGUGCUGGGUACAGGGUGUACAGUGGCUGAGUGAGGAGUUGUGUGAAGCUUGGCUGGCAGAUAUGGCCUAGUAGGGCCUGAUCAUAGAACCUGCAGCCAGAUCAUAGAACCAUAUAAUAUCCCAAGAUGGGAAUGGGCCCACAAGGAUCACUGAGUGCAACUCCUGGAUCCACAUAGGACCAUCCAAACCAAACCCAAUGUCUGAGAGCACUGUCCCAACACUCCCUGAGCUCCGGCAGCUCGGGGCCGUGCCCACUGCCCAGGCAGGCUAUUCCAGGCUGUUCCAUGCCCACCGCCCUCUGGUGCAGCCCCUUUCCCCACCUCCUGUCACAGCUCCAUGCUGUUCCCUCAGACCCUGUCGCUGUCACACAGAGCAGAGCUCAGCGCUGUCCUCCACUCCCUGUGAGGAGCUGCAGCCACCAUCAGGCCUCCCCUCAGCCUGCUCUGCUCUGGGCUGAGCACAUCAGGGAUCUCCACUGCUCCUCAUUUCACCCUAACGUUUUACACUCCUCCCAGGAAGCCUCCUAUUGAUGCAAGACCAUGCAUUUCCAGCAGGUUGUUCCAAAAGUAAUGCUUCAUAUUUAAUUCCUUGGAAACUUGCAUCCACGAGUUUCGAAGAGCGCAGUAACACUGUUCGAUAGAGCAAAUUUUCAGCUACAGAACACUGUUUUUCAAUAUAGUCACCACCAUUAGCUGUGCAUUUUCACCAGUGAAACUGAAUCACCACCUUCACCUUGCUGGUCACACUUCUCUUGAUGCAACCCAGGAUAUAGUUGACCUUCUGGGCUGCAAGUGCACAUUGUAGGCUCAUGUUGAAUCUUUCAAUUGACACUCCUAAAUCCUUCUCCUCAGGGCUGCUCUCAAGCCAUUCUCCACCCAACCUGUACCUGUUCUUCAGAUUGCUCCAACCCAGGUUCAAGACCUUGCACUUGGCCUGUCUGAACUUCAUGAGGUUGGCAUGGGCUCAGCUCUCCAGCCUGUCCAGGUUCCUCUGGAUAGCAUUCCUUCCCUCUAGCAUGUCAUCUGCACCACUCAGCUUGGUGUCAUCUGCAAACUUGAUGAGGGUGCACUUGAUCCCACUGUCCAUGCUGCCUACAAAGGUGUUAAAAAACACUGGUCCCAGUACUGAUCUCUGUGGAACACCACUCAUCACCGGUCUCCACUUGGACACUGAGCCACUGACGGUAACUCUCUAAGUGUGACCAUCCAGCUAACUCCAUAUCCAGUGAGUGGUCCAUCCAUCAAAUCCAUUUUUCUCCAACAGGGCGACCAGGAUGUUAUGUGGGACAGUGUCAAACACUUUGCACAUGUCCAGGUAGAUGGUGUCAUGCUGUAACUCCAUCAUAAAAGGCCACCAAGCUUGUCAAGUAUUACUUGCCCUUGGUGAAGCCAUGUUGGUUACUACUGAUCACCUCAUUUUUAUUUUCCAUAUGCUUUAGUAGGGCUUUCAGGAGGAUCUGCUCCAUGAUCUUGCCAAGCACAGAGGUGACACUCUCUGUCCUGUAGUUCCCUGGAUCUUCUUUUUUUCCCUUCUUGAAAAUGGGGGUUAAGUUUCCCCUUUUUCAGUCAGCGGAAACCAGACUGCCAUGACCUUUCAAAUAUGAUGGAAAGAGGCUUGGCAAUUUCAUCCUCCAGUUCCCUUGUGGAGGGAUUCAGUUCCACACCUUUGCUUCAUAUGCCCUUCCAUGUAAGACACCAUUUUGUCAGACUGCCCCGCUGCUGCCAUCUGUCACACAGCAACAAAACAUAACAGAAUACUGGUGGGAAUGUUCAACCUCUACUGCCAUCCCACUAACAUUCUCCUCUGACAUCGUCCGCCAACACAGUAAAAUAGGAGAUGUUUCUUUCAGAGCAGACCUUGGAGCAGCGCUGCAGAUCUCGUGGUUCAGUGACCCAGUGCAUCACUUCUUGCUUCUGCAGUGCUCUGAUUAAAGAACUGUUUGCAGGCAGAAAUGGCAGUUGUUGCCUAAUAUAUGGAUUUGCCCAGCUCAGCUUAGGAAAACACCUCCUGAUAAAGGAAAACCCAUCCUCAUUCACAUGUGCAGCAGCUCUGCUUGGACCUGAGCAGGAGGUUUGGGAUCUCUGCCAACUCUGGCUGUGCACUAACGAAGAAGGCACCACAGCACUGACUUUGCUCCAGGCUCUGUUCCAUUGGGUUGCAGUCCUCUAUUCUGGGAAGCCCUAGGGGUGAAGUAGCAUGGGAAAAGCCUAACAGCCCAUUCCAGGCUGGGCUGUCCUGGGAGCUCAGCCUUAGUUGGAACAGGGACAGCAGCAUCUUGGAAAGGAAGAGACUCACUUCAGAAAGCAUUGUGGAUCUUUACUUUUACCUCCUUAUGUUCCUGGGGCUUUCAGGAGCUCUCCUGGCCAUACAAACAAGGCUGCAUCCUGGGAGUACCAGGCUGUAUCAAUAAAGCUAAUAAAUGCAUGCCAGGGAUUGGUCCCUUGGUGUGAAGCUGGGUGAUGUGGCUCAGGACUUGCCUUGUAAUAAACAUCUGGGUGUCCUGGAGAGUGUUUUUCUGAGUAGUUCUAAAACCAAAGGCAGAGUGUAAGCUAAUUGCUAAGCAGCAUAAGUGACGGGGGAACUGAGUGUUCUGAGUGCUCAGCUUACUCCAGGUCCUCACUAAUUCAGCAAUGUCAGAUAUACCAGGACAUCAAGAUUGAAGUUUACACAGUCAAAAAUGUCAGAUGCAUGUAAGCCUCAUUAAAGGACAGCUAUGAUAUCCCAGUUUCUACGAUAACCCAGACAGGUGAGCGAUGUAGCAGCAUCCCACUGCCCUGCACUCUUCUAGCUGAAUACAUCCAUUUGCAGCUGAGCUGACAGAAUGCAACUUUCAAACAUUAGCUGGGUCAGACUCCCACUUAUGUCUCAGGCUUUGGCAUGACCCCCUUCUUAUUGGACAGCACUACAGCUCUACAGCUCACCUGUACUGAUGCUAACUGGCAUACAGAUGUCUCAGGUGGCAAUGGCUGCAUGCAGAAAAGCACUGUCCACCUUUCCAGGUUUCUGAGGGUCUCACUGUCUGAUAACAUUAUCUACUAAUAUCUUCAGUGUCUAACAAAUCUGCUAUCUGCAAGGGAAAUUAGAGAUCUCAGCCCACAGCAGUAGAUGGAGGUGUGAAGAAUUCUGCUUGCCCUCACAGUGAGUCACCAUAGAAUCAUAGAAUUGUUUGAGCUGGAAGAGACUCUUCAAGAUCAUCUGGUCCAACUCUCCUGCAAUGAACAGGGACACCUACAGCUCAAUCAGGUGUUCAUAGGCCCAUCCAAAUGACCUUGACUGUCUCCAGGGACAGGGCAUCCACCACCUUUAUGGGCAACCUGUGCCAGUGCUUCGCUACCUUAUUGGAAAAAACUUCUUCCUUAUAUCCAACCUACAACUCCCCUCUUUAAUUUGAAGCUAUUUCCCUUUGUCCUAUCCAACAGACCCUGCUACAGAGUCUUUCUUCUUUCUCACAGCCCCCAUUUAGAUACUGUAAGGCUGCUCUCCAUUCUCCCUGCAGCCUGCUUUUCUCCAGGAUGAAUAGCCCCAGCUCUCUCAGCCUGUACAUGUAGGAGAGGUGUUCCAGCCCUUGGAUCAUUUUGAUGUACUCCAAAAGCUCCAUGUCUCUCCUGUACUGAGGACUCCACUAAUCUGGACACAGUGCUCCAAGUGAGGUCUCAUAGAGCAGAGCAGAGGGGCAGGAACACCACCCUUGCCCUGCUGGUCAGUCUUAGGAGGUGGUCUGGAUCAGAACUUAUUACAGAUAGGUAAUCAGCCAAAAAAAAAAAAAAAGGAACCAAAGAAAUAAGCCAAACAGGGAACUUCCCAUCACAGGAGGCAUCACAUUCCAAGUGCAGAAGAAUCUGGGAAAUCUUCCUUCUAAAUGUUUUAUGCAUCACAACAAUCUGGAACCAUUUUGAUUUGGAAGCAAUGCAGAGUGUUGCCCUCUCUCCUCUCUCAUAGUGCUUUCCAAUUUGUUGCUUUUUUUGCCAUGUAUUUGUUUGCUCCCUUGGGACAGGUGAUCCAGCUUUUCCCUGAUGCCUGUGCAGUUCUCAGUGCCUUCCUGAGCUGUGCUUCUGUAAGCAGCUCCUCUUGUCCACCAGGAACUGCCCUCUCUAGGAGAGUAGGGCUUUGCAGCCACUUUUCUCAUGCUUCUACUCUUAUUUUGUCUUUCUGCUUGUUCUCUCUAUUCUUGUUCCUGUCUCAUGCUUCCAUUAUAAAGUUCUAUUAAAUCCUCAUUGAAAAUUACUGUGCUGCUAUGAAGGUUGGGGAACAAAUGCAUCUUUCAGCUUGGGUCAGUGCAGGUGAACACAGUAUGCACACUGACAGACACCUGCUUCCCUCGGUAAACUGCAGAGGAUCUCAGAGAUGUGGCUGUGCUGUGUGCUCUCUUAGGGCACUGUCAGAAUAUUGCCAGGAAAUUUAUAAAAAGUGAAUUUCAGGAGAGAACUGAAGGCCUUUGAGAAGGGUCUGGAGCAUCACACCAUCAGUGGUAUCUGGAGAGAGCUUCACCAAUCUCCAUUUCUUCUCAAGAUCUGGCCCAAGUGUAAGUGCAGGCUAUAAUUUGCUUUGUAGGUGUAAACCAUAAGCUCCCUAAAGCUUGUCAUGCUUGUCUAGAAUGGCAGUGAGUGGGCAUUCAUUGAGCCGGCAUUAGAAUCACAGAAUCAUUAAAGUUGGAAAAGACCUCUCAGAUCAGGUCCAACAAUGAACCCACCCCCACCAUGCCCACUGACCACAUCCCUCAGUGCCACAUCUCCAUGUUCUUGGAUGCUUUCAGGGACAGUGACUGCACUAUCUCCCUGGGCAGCCUGUGCCAGUGCCUCACCACUCUUUUGGAGAAGAAAUUUUUCCUAAUAUCUAACCUGAACAUCCCCUGGUGCAACUUGAACCCAUUACCUUUUAUCACUGUUACAUGUGAGAAGAGGCCGACCCCCACCUCACCACAACCUCCUUUCAGCGAGCUGUGGAGAGCAAUAAGGUCUCCUGCACCUCCUCUUCUCCAGGCUGAACAACCCCAGUUCCCUCAGCCCAUCCCCAUAAGAUUCAUGCUCCGGACCACUCACAUCUCAGCUGCCCAUUUCUGGACAUGCUCCAGGGCCUCAGUGUCUUUUUGAGGGGCCAAAAACAAGCACUGUACUCAAGGUACAACCUCCCCAGAGCUGAGUACAGAGGCCCUUUUUCACUUUUCACCCUUGUUUUCUCAAUGAUAAGCUUAAGCCGUGAUGCAUUAUUUGAAGAAGGAUUCUCUUUUGGCUUACAGUCCUGAGUCCUACUUGUUCUUUUUUUCUUUUUUAGCAGGGAAUAAUCUCAACAUCCUCUCGUGUUUGCUGAUAUUUCAAGGUGACAGAAUUGGCUGAAGUGAGCCAUGAAGGGCUAAACUGAGCCACUGGGAUCACUACAGGAGGAACCAGAGGCAGUGCACAUGGACACCACUCCAGCAGCAGCCCAGAAUGGGAACUGGGACCCAAAGGAGCAGCUACUUCUCUGCUCAUUUCCUGCUUUUCGAGAAAAUGCUCUCAGUAGUUUGGAAAGAAUGCAGAAUAACAUCUUGCGUACUCCAUGUACCUCAACCUGCUUGAAAUCCCUCCAGCUGGGUAAUAAAGGCUGUUUUUCUGCCUUCAUUCAACCAACAUUCCUAAACCUCUGCAACAACCUACUUCUACUGCCAGCCUAUGUCACUACUCCAUCCAGAUGGAAAUAAAAUCUUUUAGGGUGGAAAAAUUGCAUGCUACCAAAACAUAUAUCUGCCCAUGCUCCCUGCAAUCACAGUGCUGUCUCUGGAACUCACAUCCCCUUCCUCCCUCUGUGAUGUUUCUCACAUUCAGCAGUCAGGAAAGACCUGUCCUGUGCAGGUGCCACAACCUUCACCUCUUCGUGCCAGGUGGGGGCAGCAGCCUUCAAACAAGCAGACGGUGCUCACCUUCCUAUGGAUAUGAAUGGGAAGGAGAGAAGUAGAGUUCUGGGCCACUUGAAUGAGUUCUGAGAUAAAUCUCUUAUAGAGAAGUCUGACCUCAAGCAGGGCAGGUGCAAGCUAGGAGAAGCAACUGGUUGUUGGCUGUGCUCUUCAGCUCUGCAGAUGUUACAUCUUUCCCAAAGCAGGACAGAAAAGCAGAGAGGAAUGAAUGAUGAAAUCCUUUAGUAAAAAAUGUUGUUUCUCUGUCCCCUCAGCCAUUCCCAUCUUAUAUGAGGUUAUUAUUGCAACAUUAUUUAUGCUUCAAUCACAGGAAUUUUUUCAUAGUCAUGAAUAGCUUUGUGAAACUAAGAAAAGACUCAGAAGAAGCCAUUUUUUCCCUGUUUGAAGUCCUAACACACUUUAAGUUUCUGUAAUAAAACUGUCAGUCCAUAAAGUUGGGCUGCUAAGACCAUAGAUAAAAUGUAGUGAUUCUAAAGCAAUUGAGCUCCUUUGAAAAGCAAUGACAGUUUCGAGGAACUCAGCACUAUUGAAACGGCUUUCAAUUUAAGCCUGAAUUUUCCAGAGGAAUAAUGAACAGUAAAUUUCACUGACUUAAUUUUCAAAUGCCCAUGUUGAAAUAGCCUUAGGCGUCUGAUCACUCCUGCUGCCAGCUCUUAGACAUCCAGGAGUGAAAUUCAACAGCUUAAGAUGCAGAUGCUGAAUCACUGCAUUUUACAGGUCUGUGUUUCCCAGCAAAAUGGCCGUGAUUUUAGGUUACCAUGCAAAGCUGGUUUGAUAAACUGCAUCGUCCUUAGCAGGACUCUGGAUGUCCAGUACUGUGAGCAGUUGCAAAUGAAAGAAGCUGUGCUCCCAUGAUGACUUUUAGCUCUUUAAAUCGCAGGAUUAAACAGGUAGAUGUAGCUUUAGACAUCCACAUUUGGACCUCCUGUCAAAGACAAAAGUGUUAUAAAAAUCAAUCUGAUGGGACAGCACGGCACCUGAUCGUCACCAGCACACUUUUAGCUUCUCUCUGUUGGACUGAACUUUAAAUGUACAUUAAAAAGAAUUGAGAAGUUGAAAUAAGCCAGUUACAACUCUCAAAAGAACCAUUUUUAAACACAGAAGCAUUCAGAGAACAAAACCUCCUUUUCAGCACUUCUGGCUCAUUCAUGGGGGCCACUUCUUACAGUUCUGCUAAAUCAGUUGAGAAAGUCACCAAAGCAUAGCAGCAUCACAGUGUUCCUAUGAAAAAAGGCACCAAAGAUCCUUGAGAAAACCCUGAACAGCGCAGAAAGCAAGAACAAAUGUUUUAUAUAUGUGGUAUUGUUAAAACUCCCAAGUGGCAUAAAUAUAAUAAACAAUAGUGAAGAAUGGGAUAUUUCUGUUUGUUUCCACACACUUGAGAUGACCUAACCUACCUCAGGCAUGGUUCCACUUUGUGACUUGUGAGUUAUUUGAUCGUUCCAAACUUGUGAAAAUAAACACUAUUAUUCUACUGUU